rnacentral:rRNA from 1 species
GCUGGCAGCCAUAUCACUCUGCAGCUCUCAACUGGCUACCCACUGAAGCUAAGCAGAGUUGAGCCUGGUCAGUACCUGGAUGGGAGACUAUGGGAAGCUAUGGUUGCUGCUGGAA